rnacentral:lncRNA from 1 species
UCCACUUCAUGCUACACUCCAUAGCCCUCAGCUUCAUCUCCACUGAUCUAAUUCUAAAAAUUUUGGAUUGUUUUAUAAUCAUUCAUAGACAAAAAAAAACCAAAGGAGUCCAACACUGGGGGGGGGGAGGAAAUUUUUCCAAGUUCAAGGAUCCCCCUUACAUGCAACCAGACCCCAUUCCCUGACCCUUGUUUCAAGCAAUCAAACCAUCCUCCCCAUAGUUCCCUGCACCUUUGACAAGGCCCACACCCAAACCAAGCCCUUUCAUACAUGACCUAGCCUCUCACCCAGGAAAGACCCUGCAUCCGUAACCCGUGCCUUCAUCGUCUUUCAACCCAGGCCAAAACCUUAUUCGACCAUCACCAAAACCCAGCCUCAAACCAUAGAAACUCCAAGCAACCAAACUCAACCCAGCCCUUUAAGCACCGUCCAGCCCCAUCAAACACUAUCUAGCCUUUCCAUUCCACCAAGACCAUUUCCAAAUACACUGACCAGCCACUCACCCAGGAAAUACCUUUUGCCCGCAACAACACUAGCCCCAAUCCUACCAGCCGAGCUCCAUCUAGAACACCUAGCCUAGCCCCAAACCGUGCCUCCGAGAACCAAUCGCUGCAUGCACCAAUAGAUCCAAGACCCUAACACAAUCUCUUACCUACACAAACACCCCAUUCCUUGUCACCAUUUGCCCUAACCUUAACCAAGAAGAGACCAAGACCAUCUCCAAGCAUCGAUCCUUCCAUCUCAAAACACACAACCUAGACCCAAACAGCCAUCAUGAACCAAAAAAAAAAAA